rnacentral:rRNA from 1 species
AGUGAACGCUGGCGGCAGGCCUAAUACAUGCAAGUCGAACGGCAGCACAGCAGAGCUUGCUCUGUGGGUGGCGAGUGGCGGACGGGUGAGGAAUACAUGGGAAUCUGCCCAGUCGUGGGGGAUAACGUAUGGAAACGUACGCUAAUACCGCAUGCGCCCUACGGGGGAAAGUCGGGGACCGCAAGGCCUGACGCGAUUGGAUGAGCCCAUGUUCGAUUAGCUAGUUGGCGGGGUAAAGGCCCACCAAGGCGAUGAUCGGUAGCUGGUCUGAGAGGACGAUCAGCCACACGGGAACUGAGACACGGUCCCGACUCCUACGGGGGGCAGCAGUGAGGAAUAUUCGGCAAUGGGGGCAACCCUGACCGAGCAACGCCGCGUGGAGGAUGACGGUUUUCGGAUUGUAAACUCCUUUUCUCAGGGAAGAGCGAGGACGGUACCUGGGGAAUAAGUCACGGCUAACUACGUG